rnacentral:rRNA from 1 species
GUGCCAGCAGCCGCGGUAAUACGGAGGGUGCAAGCGUUGUUCGGAAUUACUGGGCGUAAAGCGCGUGUAGGCGGUCAGGUAAGUCAGAUGUGAAAGCCUUCCGCUUAACGGAAGAAGGGCAUUUGAAACUGCCUGGCUAGAGUACGGGAGAGGAGAGUGGAAUUCCCGGUGUAGAGGUGAAAUUCGUAGAUAUCGGGAGGAACACCAGUGGCGAAGGCGGCUCUCUGGCCCGACACUGACGCUGAGACGCGAAAGCGUGGGGAGCAAACAGGAUUAGAUACCCGCGUAGUCC